rnacentral:tRNA from 1 species
CCCUCGAUAGCUCAAUUGGGAGAGCGCAAGACUGUAAAUCUUGAGGUCGCUAGUUCGAUCCUGGCUCGAGGGA